rnacentral:rRNA from 1 species
UACAGAGGUCUCAAGCGUUGUUCGGAUUCAUUGGGCGUAAAGGGUGCGUAGGUGGCGGGGUAAGUCAGGUGUGAAAUCUCGAGGCUCAACCUCGAAACUGCACUUGAUACUGCCUUGCUCGAGUACUGGAGAGGAGAUUGGAAUUUACGGUGUAGCAGUGAAAUGCGUAGAGAUCGGGAGGAACAUCUGAGGAUACGGCGGCCACCGGGACCUACACUGACACUGAGGCACGAAAGCGUGGGGAGCAAACAGG